ensembl:lncRNA
AAAUUAUAUAAUACAAUUAUUACAACAAUCAAAAAACAUGUUUUAUGAUUUCGAUUUAACAAUUUUGUUAAACUGUUUAAAAUUGCUAUGUAAACAAAUUGUUAUUAAUAAUGAACAAAGUGAUCAUACAAAUAUGAAUGAAUUAUUUAAAUUAGAGCAAUUUAAAAAUACUAUAAUUCAACAAAAAUCGGAUACUAUUAUGAACGAGUCAGAAGAAAAUACGAUAAAAACUAUAGAAAAGGAAUAUGAUACUUUUUUUAAUUCGGAUAACCAACUUUGGGCUUAUAAAUCAGUGUUAUAUGACAAUAUGGAUACAGAAAAGGGUAAUAAUGAUAGAGAGGAAGAAGAAGAAGAAGAAGGAGAAGGAACAAAAAAAGGAAAUUAUGCACACAGUGAUAGUGCAUAUUCUGUUGUUUCGGAAGGAAUAGUUAGUAAAAAAGAAAAUGAUAUAAAUCAAUGUGCUAGAAUAAGCAGUGAGCGUAACAUACAUGACGGGAUGAACAUAUCAAGUAAUACACAAACCGUAUUAGGCUGUGAAAAACGCAAAUUAGAUGAAACUAUGUUUACUAAAAUUAUUUAUAAAAUUGUAAAAUUAUUUAAAAAAAGAACAGAACCAAGUAGCAACAAUAUAAAAUAUAAUAAGGGUAUGAAUUUGCAAGAAGAGUACAGCAGUAAGAACAAAACAGAAGUAUAUAAAAUAAGAAAAAUUAUAAACAACACAUUAGAUAUGUUAAUAAAACUAAAUAGUUCUAAUAAAAAAAAAAAAAAUAAGUACGAUAGUUGUUAUGAUGGUAAUAAUAACGUAUCAUCAUUAUGUAAUAAUAUGAAAAAUAAGAAUCGAUUUAAUUUUUUUGAUACAAAAAAGAAGGAAGAAAAACAAUUUUUAAUUUUUACUUUAAACACAGUAAACAAAUUAAACUAUUUUUCACAGUGUAAUAGUUACAAUUUUGAAUAUUUUAAAAAUAAAAUUUUAGAAUGUAUACUAAAUAAUAAAAAAAAAAAUCAUGCAUAUAUAAAUAAAUAUAUAAACCUUUUAGAAUAUAAUUUUGUAGAUGGUAUUUUUAGUUCUUUAAGUGAUAUAAGUUCAUAUCUUAUAAAUUUAAAUAAAGAGUUUAUUUCGAUAUAUAACAAAAGUAAUAAUUUAAAAAUUUUAAAUGUGUUACAUGCAAUUGAUAAAAUUUUAAAACUUUCUGUAAAUGAUAUUAAAACAGAUAUAGAACAAAUAACAAAAAAACUGGAAGCACUUUUAUUUUUAAUUAAUUCAAUUAAAGAAGAUAAAUAUAUAGAUCUGGAUGUAAUCACGAUGGAGCAUUUAAAUAAGUUAAUUAAAAAUAAUUUAUUAGAAACUUUAUUAGUAUAUGUGAUAUAUUUUCGAUUAUAUAAACUGAAAGAAAUUAAAACAGUUCGUAAGAAAUUAACUCAUACUAUGAUAAAGAAAAAAACGUUGAACUUGUUUGCUUAUUUGUUUUAUUUGUGUUAUGAUGAUGUUGAUGGGAAAGUUACUACAUCGGUUGAUAUUUGUAAUGGCGAUAUAUACAAUAACAAUGGCGAUAUAUACAAUAGCAAUGGCGAUAUAUACAAUAGCAAUGGUGAUCUGACAACAAAACUAAAAAUUGUUAACUCAUUUGAAUUGUUAGUAAUAUUUUUAAGAGGUUCUUCUAUUGGCGAAUUUUCAAUGCGUUUAAAUAUGAUUUACUUUAUUGGACAUUUGUUUAUGUAUUCGAGUAAUAUAAAAGAAAGAUUAAUGAGUAAUUUAUUUUUAAAUGUUUAUAAUUAUAUGCAUAUAUAUUUACAGUUAAUAAAAAAAAAAAUAAAAAAAUCUAAAAAUUAUUUUGAUUUACAAUUAAAAAAAUCAUUACAACAAAUUAAUAUUGACUUAAUAGAUUUAAAUGCUUAUACAAAAUCUAUAGAAAAAUUUAAAAAACAAAAUUACUUAUUUUACUAAGUUAUAUUUUCAACAAAUAGCUAUAACAGUUGAUAAGUUUAUUUUGGAAAAUAAAUACAGUACAUUCGAAUCGGAAAUGAAAUUA